rnacentral:rRNA from 1 species
UAGGGAAUAUUAGAAAUGGACGAAAGUCUGAUCUAGCAACACCGCGUGUGCGAAGAAGGCCUUCGGGUUGUAAAGCACUUUUUGGAAGGAUUAGGAAGGAAUGUACUUCCAGAAUAAGUCUCGGCUAACUACGUGCCAGCAGCCGCGGUAACACGUAGGAGGCAAACGUUAUCCGGAUUUACUGGGCGUAAAGCGCGUGUAGGUGGUUCUGUAAGUAGGGCGUGAAAGCUCCUGGCUCAACUGGGAGAGGCCGUUCUAAACUGCAGAGCUAGAGGAUGGUAUAGGGAGGUGGAAUUCCGGGUGUAGCGGUGGAAUGCGCAGAUAUCCGGAGGAACACCAGUGGAGAAAGCGGCCUCCUGGACCAUUCCUGACGCUCAGACGCGAAAGCUAGGGUAGCAAACGG